ACGCAUCCCCACAGCAGAAAAACGAAACAAAAUGCAGUACAAGAUGGCUGCGUUUGGGUGUUGUGGCUACUGAUUUGUGUAAGAAUAUUCCGUAGUGUUCAAUGAUUAAUUCGUAGUGAUUUAAUAAAUAUUUGUCGGUACAAAUUACGAUUGUGUAUAAUGCGUACAUGCGUAAGGCAGUUGUGUUAGAAGGGACAAUGCGAGCACGUCGUUGAAAUAUUAAUCACGGUUCAGGGGGUGGAUGAUAGGAAUUUACUGAAAAUCCAAGAUAGAAGCCACUUGAAACACUGGAGAAAGACGGUGGAGCUUCGGAGGAGGAGGAGAUGUCUGCCGGCACCCAGGGCGAGAUUCGGGUUGGCCCUUCGCACCAGGAAUUGGUUUCUUGUCAGGCCCGUUUGCCUGAGUAUCGGCCGGGUAUACCUCCGGGAGAGCUGCUUCCUGAUCCAGAGUUUUCCAAAGAACGAGAGGAGCUAAGAUGGAUUCCAGCUAUGGCAUUAGACGGGGAUCUUCUGAUGUAUUUAAGGGCAGCUCGAUCUAUGGCUGCGUUUGCUGGUAUGUGUGAUGGAGGAUCCCCGGAUGACGGUUGUGUGGCUGCUUCCCGUGACGACACGACUAUCAAUGCCCUGGAUAUUUUACACGAUUCUGGCUAUGAUCCAGGAAGAGCAUUGCAAGCUUUGGUUAAAUGUCCUGUACCUAAAGGCAUCGAUAAAAAAUGGUCCGAGGAGGAAACUAAACGCUUCGUCAAAGGACUUCGACAAUUUGGGAAAAAUUUCUCAAGGAUUAGAAAGGAUCUCUUACCUCAUAAAGACACGCCGGAAUUGGUUGAAUUCUACUAUUUAUGGAAGAAAACACCAGGGGCGAAUAAUAACCGACCUCAUCGAAGAAGACGACAAGGCUCACUUAGGAGGAUUCGUAAUACGCGGAACUCGCGUGCUGGUACUCCUAAAGAGGAGGUACCAACUGCGCCUAAAGAUACUCCGCCAACUAGCGUCAAUCAAAAGGAGCCUGUUUCAGAACCGGAAACUAUACCUGUUGGAACACCCGCCAGCAAUAAUCCUGGUGGAGAAAUUAGUUCCGUGACAGAAGACGAUAACUCAGAAGAGGAUAGUGACUCCAGAGAUACAAAUACUAACGGGGCAACGCAUGCAUGCCACCAUUGUUUUUCGUCUAAUUCGAAGGAUUAUCAGGUAGCUGGCAAAGAUAGGUUAUUGCUUUGUACGGAAUGCAGAACACAUUUGAAGAAGACGGGAGAAUUACCGCCUGCACCACCGUAUCUAUUCCGCCCUGUGCCUGCGGAAUCACCAGAUAGCCCAGGGAGAAUGCGUACAAGAAACAAGGCCAAAGAAACGCCUAGACCUGCAAGACCUCGACGUACAGGUGGAACGGAUACUCCAGACCAAGAAAAACAACAGCAACAGCAACAAACGCCAGAUAAGAGUAAAAAGAAAUCUAGUAAACCAGAGACACCAAAGAAAGGUCAGAAACGACCUCAAGCGGAUGAAGUAGAUGAAGAUAAAGAAUCUCAGAAGCGGAAACGUCCUGGUGAACGUCCUGAGAGUCCCUCGGAAUCUCUCACAACUGAUAGCAACUCUCUCAUGGAUGAACCUGAGAGAGAAGGAGAAGGUGAUACGAAUGAAAAUCAACCUACUCCGGUUACAGUGCCAACUGAGGAGCCUGUUAGUCCAGCAGUAACUACACCAGAGGAGCCUUCUGAACCAACUCCAGUUUCUACCCCCGUACCAACACCUAUACAGACAUUACCAAUUUCUGUUCCUGUUAUCCAUACUCUAGAAAAGAAACCAUUAUUAGAAGAACCAGUAGAAACAAAGGAUCAAACAGAAGAUGUACCUUUAGCUAUGAAUCAGCCAUUGAAGUUGGAACCUAUGCCGAUAGAACCAGUCAUGUCGCCAUCUAACGAAGAUAUGAAAGAGUCCGAACAGCAGCUAAACUUAACUACGUCGCAGUCGUUAAAUAUGAAUGAUAUGAGUCAAAAUAUGCCUCGUAAUUUGUCACAGUCGAUACAGAACAGUGGUAUUUGUGCGUCGACUGGUUCACAAGGCAUACAAAAUUCACAGAUCAUGUCACCAACGCACCAAGGACUGCCACUUAAUAUGCAAUAUACAUCUAAUGUUCCUCCUGUUCAGAAUGUACCGCAAAACUUAUCGCAGAGUAUGCAAAUGCCGCCGAAUAUUCCGCAGAAUAUGUCGAACGCGCAAAACAUGGGACCAACGCAAAAUCUUCGAACACACGGUGAAAAUCUAUCAAGUACUCAAAAUAUGCCUCAAAACAUACCGGGACCACCAUUAAACCUCAAUAUCUCCCAAAACAUACCAACAAACAUGACACAGAUGCCUCAGAUGCCGAGUUCGCCGCAACCACUUGGCUUAACCGUGAUGUCUACUGAAAACAGAAUAUCCGAACGAAUUUCCGACGAGAGAUUACCUUCAGAACGAAUUAGAGAUAAUAGGAUACCUGAUAGAAUAUCUGAAAGGAUACCAGAAAGAUCAGAAAAUAAUGAAUCUGAGCGAAACGAGUCGAGCAAUCUGUUCCAACCUAUUCAGUCAAGUGGAAUGUUGUCCAUGGAAAAACCCUCUUCGAUUUACAAUUUGGCUAGCACGCCACCAAUGGAACCUCAAAAUUUAAAAAUUAAACAAGAGAUCAUUCCUCCUGAACCGGAUCCUCUUCAAAGUUUAAAAGAAGUCAAAGUUCCUGGUUUUCAGUCUGGUUUUCCUGGUCCGAGUUUAGAGAAUAUUAAGAAAGAUCCAGAUAGUUCCAGUAAACCACCAACACCAAGCAAACACUCCAUACCAAGUAAUCAACCUGUUGCUCAAGUACAAUCUGUGGCAGCUUCUCCAACGCCGACUCUUCCACCACCACCUACUUCUAUUCCUCAGCCUGUAAUGCAUCCAGCCCAACAACCGAGUCCUCAUAUGGCUCAUCCAUUCCACCCACACCAUCCUUUGAUGCAUCACUCAUUAUUUACCGCAAUGCAUCCAUACCAUCCUCAUGCUUAUCCAGGUUAUGCUCCAGUUGGAGCUUAUCCUUCGUUCCCACCAUAUCCUUAUGGUCCAGUUCCCCAUGCAAUUCCGCCUCCAUCUCCACAGAGGAGUCAAGAAAGUACAACAAUGAUGACAGCGCAUCAUUCAAGCACGAGUUCCAGUGUGACAACAAGAGAAGAAGGAGAGAAUCUCAUUGCUACACAUCAUCACUCAUCUACAAUGCAUCAAGCCACAGCGUUGCACCAUGAUAAACUGUUAACCAUUUCUUCUCAUAGUUCUCAUAGUCAUUCUUCGUCGCAUAGUUCACAUAAUACUCAGCGCAAGCCACUAGUAUCAGCCACGAGUCUAACAUCCAGUAGUUCAGCGCAUCAUCACCAUAGACCACCGCAAUCCCAACCUUCAGUCGCUCCAGAACCUAAAAUAGAACCUGAUUUGGUAGAACAAGAACAAGAAGAGCUACCAAGUCCACGGGGUCCAUCUCCAGAACCUCGAAUCGAAGAUUCUGAAUGUCAUAGAUCACAGUCCGCUAUUUUCUUACGACAUUGGAAUCGUGGUGAGAACAAUUCCUGCACCAGAACAGAUCUAAUGUUCAAACCUGUCCCAGAUUCAAAGUUAGCAAGAAAACGAGAGGAAAGGUCGAGAAAGCAAGCUGAGAGGGAAAGAGAGGAACGUGAUAGAGUUGCAGCGCAACAAGCUAGGAAAAUGACCACGCCUGAGAAGCAACCAGAAACAUGUAAGCCGCCUAGUCGAGGACCUCUUGAGCCUGUUGUAUCUCCUUAUGAUAGAUACGCCGCAAGACCGGGAUCCUAUGCAGAUACCCCUGCUUUGAGACAAUUGUCCGAAUACGCCCGACCACAUGCUGCAUUCUCACCUGCCAGGCAUCCAGCGCCACCAGAUCCGAUGUUGCAUUAUAUGUAUAGCCCUGCUGCCCGAGAACGCUUAGAAUUGGAACAUUUAGAACGUGAAAAAAGGGAACGAGAGAUUAGAGAGUUACGUGAACGAGAAUUAAACGAUCGACUGAAAGAAGAACUUCUAAAGGGAACACCUAGACCAAUGCCAGCACCAGUGGAUCCACAUUGGCUAGAAAUUCAUCGACGUUACGCAGCUGCAGGACUUGCUCCUGGACCGUCGGGACCUCCUCAGGCUUUACACCAAUUUGGUCUCUACGGAGCUCCACCUGGACCCAGUCAGUUGGAAAGAGAACGUUUAGAAAGACUAGGGAUACCGACUGCAGCCGGCGGGGGGCCAGCGAGUGCAGGAGCUGGCCAUCCCGUGGCGGCUCAUCACCACGGCCAGCUGGACGAGCGACUGGCUCUAGCUGCUGACCCGAUGGUCCGGUUGCAGAUGGCUGGCAUUUCGCCCGAGUAUCAUGCUCACACUCACGCGCAUACGCAUGCGCAUACGCACUUACACUUACAUCCGGGACAGCAGCAGGCCCAGCAACAGGCUCAGCAACAGCAGGAAGCGGCUGCGGCUGCAGCUGGAUUCCCCCUGCCUGCGGCAGCUGGUGCAAAUUAUCCUCGACCAGGCUUAAUGCCCCGUGAUCCAGCACUGGCUCUUCAUCCCGCGGAACUUCUUGGAAGACCAUACGCAGAUAUGGCAGCGCAUCACGAGCAAUUACAGCGUCAUCUAAUGAUGGAACGUGAUCGAUUCCCUCCUCAUGCAUCGCUUGUUGCACAUCACGAGGAAUAUUUAAGACAACAGCGCGAACGUGAGCUUAAAGUUCGCGCACUGGAAGAAGCUGCACGUGGAUCACGCCCUUAAGUGGACAAACUAUCCAAUGAAUAUUUGGAGAAAUUAUCAAGAUUCCAGUGUAAUUUUAAAUAUUAAUAAGAAGUGAAACAUCAUACAAGUGGUUCGUUCGCCCCUAAUCGGAUGCAUGUGUAUUUCACAUGUGUGGCUAGUAAAGGGAAGAGGUAGAGUGGGGAUUAAUGGCAGCACACAUUGGGGAAAAGGAAUUUCUUGAGAAAACGAAAGAAGACGCGGCGGCUUAGUCAUUCAUAAACAAGCUGUUAGUGUGGUCGGAUACCUCCUGAAUUAGUUAUUUAACAAUUAACUAAUAGUGUAGUGCAGCAUGGCUGCAGAAAAAAAAGAGGAAUCAUCAAAACAACGUUAUCAAGCGAACGCACGUGAAAGGGAUCGAACAUAUAGGUGAAAAUAAUUUUUUUUUUAUA